ensembl:lncRNA
GUAAACUCAAACUCACUAAUUUUUGAUAAAUGUUAGAAAUUUCAUAUUUUAUAUAGUUUGAACCAAGCGUGCCACACUGGUGUAAAGUGUAGCUUUAGUUUACAUGAAAAUUUGACAAGUUUGGUAAACUACAGAUAUUUUAUGGUUUGCAAAGGUUUUUUUAUAUAUAUAUGUAAAUGUCUUACACCAUGUGCUUAACAUUUUAAAUUUAGCCUCUCCCAGACAAGACAUUUGAUGGGCUGGUAACCUGCCCAGGUUAUGCACGAGCAGAGGACAAGGCUCUUUAUGUGCUCUCAUCGCUUGCUGUCACACAUGAGAAGCAGCAGACUGAGGCAGACACAGUUGGGCAAGUCUGCAUAUCGUAAGAAACAGAUCACAGCAAGCAACUUUUUUAAAUGGUCUUGGCAGCAGUCAAGCAGAAGUCUUACCCUCCUUCCUUAUUUAAAACUCUGUUUGGCCAGUACAACCUCAAAGAAGGAUCUAAAGUAAGUUGAUGGUAAAAAGUGGUUAUUUUACAUCUGUGUUAAACAUCUGCAUUUGUUUCUUAAGCCCGGGACACACAUAGCUGACUCUUCAGACAAAGUUUUUGAGCUCCAGUCGACUUUAAUUUAUUGACUCUCCUUGACACGCAGGUGCAGAAUCCACAUGCUAGUUAACAGUCAUCUGUAGUCCUUUUGGUGUGUUCACGCAUACCAUUUUUUCCCCAAUGCAAGCGAUGCGAGGUGAUAAUACAGUUGGAUGAGGUGACUGGUUCCCUGUCACUAAAACAAACUCAUGAUUACUUGCAUCAAAUCCAGGGCAACCUAUACUUAAUCGGCGCUAAGAGAUGUGACCUAAUUGUGUGGAGUCCUCUUAAACUUGUCAUCAUACCAGUGCUCAAAGACCCAAAAUGGGCUGUUCACAUUGACAUUUUGGAAACAUUUUAUAAAGAUUGUUUCCUGCCAAACAUUCUGUCCCAAUUGUAAGUUUAUUUAUCUGCACUUGUAAUUACCCUGUAUUUAUGUACUAUAUACUGUAUUCUGAAUUGUAUUUUGUAUUGUGAC